CAAAAAUGUCAUUUUAGACAGAACACAGAACACGAAACAACAAAAAGCUGGUGGAAUAAAAAAAAAUGCAAACAAUGGCCGCCAAAAGGCAAAGCCAACAGCAGCAGCAGCAACAACGGCUAUAACAACCCGCGAUCAAUUGCGCGAGAUAAGUGCCACCACCACCACCACCACUCUGCCACCAAGGGGCAGCCAACCCAAGCGGCAGACAACCACCCUCUCACCCCCGGGCGUCCUUGCAUUGCUGACAUAGUUCGGAUUGACAUUUUUCUUCCAGCACUCUUCCUGGAAAGGGUGGUUCGACAGACUGACUGGAUUUGUCCUGGAAAUGAAAGGCUCUAAUGGAACUGGCAUAUCCCCUUAAAUCGCACGUAUCUGAAAGAUACACAUGUUUGACUUUUUCCAACAUUAGGCUUCCAUGUUAUGGCCAUUUUUAUGUGUCCGUUGUCGUGUCAUGUAUUUGACGCUGUUAUUAAAACAAAUGCCAAAAGCUCACCCCCUAUAAGGUGGUAAGGUCUCGCAGAUUCGCAAUUUCCGAUGCCCUGGCUGUGAUUUCCUCCGCGAAUGCCACAUUGCCACAAGAGACCAAACAAAAUAUGAUUUAUGAAGCGAUGCAGCUAACGGAUACUGGAUUCUGGAGACUGAACACUAUGGAGCCAGUUCGGUUUCGGUUGCGAGUUAAGAGUUAAGAGCCAGGGCCGGAAUGGUCAAGCGGUAUCUGAAACAGUUAAUCGGCAGCAAAAUUAAUAAAUCCGUUGAGUUUAAUAGAGUUCAAAAAGCGAGCUGGGCCGAAAGGGCGAGACGAGGCCGAGGAGAACGACGCACAACACAAAGCGAAAGGCAGGCAGGCGGACAAGCGGACACGCGGACACGCGGACAGAUGGACAAACGGACAAGACCCCGAUACGCAGUCUCUGUCUGUGGAUUCGGCUGGAUCUCGGACUGGACUGGAGAGCUUUAGCUGGGGAGCUGCCUUUGGGGUCAACGCCGCCGAGAUGUUCCCAGAAAGAUCAGCAAAUGAAGAUCUCAAUGGGCAGCAGGCUGAGCCAGGCCAGGCAGCCCGGCUGGCUGCUCCUCGUCUAGGCCAUGCGCUCAAAUAAAUUCAAUCUAAAUUGUAA
rnacentral:sRNA from 1 species